rnacentral:rRNA from 1 species
GACGAACGCUGGCGGCGUGCUUAACACAUGCAAGUCGAACGGAAAGGCCCUGCUUUUGUGGGGUGCUCGAGUGGCGAACGGGUGAGUAACACGUGAGUAACCUGCCCUUGACUUUGGGAUAACUUCAGGAAACUGGGGCUAAUACCGGAUAGGAGCUCCUGCUGCAUGGUGGGGGUUGGAAAGUUUCGGCGGUUGGGGAUGGACUCGCGGCUUAUCAGCUUGUUGGUGGGGUAGUGGCUUACCAAGGCUUUGACGGGUAGCCGGCCUGAGAGGGUGACCGGCCACAUUGGGACUGAGAUACGGCCCAGACUCCUGCGGGGGGCAAGAGUGGGGAAUAUUGCACAAUGGGCGGAAGCCUGAUGCAGCAACGCCGCGUGCGGGAUGACGGCCUUCGGGGUGUAAACCGCUUUCGCCUGUGACGAAGCGUGAGUGACGGUAAUGGGUAAAGAAGCACCGGCUAACUACGU